rnacentral:rRNA from 1 species
UGAGUUUGAUCAUGGCUCAGAUUGAACGCUGGCGGCAAGCCUAACACAUGCAAGUCGAGCGGUAGAGAAGGAGCUUGCUUCUUCUUGAGAGCGGCGGACGGGUGAGUAAUGCCUAGGAAUCUGCCUGGUAGUGGGGGACAACGUUUCGAAAGGAACGCUAAUACCGCAUACGUCCUACGGGAGAAAGUGGGGGAUCUUCGGACCUCACGCUAUCAGAUGGGCCUGGGUCGGAUUAGCUUGUAGGUGAGGUAAUGGCUCACCUAGGCAACGAUCCGUAACUGGUCUGAGAGGAUGAUCAGUCACACUGGAACUGAGACACGGUCCAGACUCCUACGGGAGGCAGCAGUGGGGAAUAUUGGACAAUGGGCGAAAGCCUGAUCCAGCCAUGCCGCGUGUGUGAAGAAGGUCUUCGGAUUGUAAAGCACUUUAAGUUGGGAGGAAGGGUUGUAGCUUAAUACGCUGCAACUUUGACGUUACCAACAGAAUAAGCACCGGCUAACUCUGUGCCAGCAGCCGCGGUAAUACAGAGGGUGCAAGCGUUAAUCGGAAUUACUGGGCGUAAAGCGCGCGUAGGCGGCUUGAUAAGAUGGGUGUGAAAUCCCCGGGCUUAACC